rnacentral:ncRNA from 2 species
CAAUGCAAUAGAGGUUGCGAUACUCACGAAAUAUUUAGGAGUCGACGAAGAUGUUGAUUAUUUAUUUCAGGAAUAUCGCCGAAACAGAAUAUUAUUUCGUCUAUAUAUUUUGUUGGGCUGUAAAAGCAUAUUUUACAGACUGUCCUGGACAAUUCCAGGGAGCGCUAUAUGAUUU